rnacentral:rRNA from 1 species
GACGAACCGUGCAAACGUUGUUCGGAAUCACUGGGCUUAAAGGGCGCGUAGGCGGGUGGUCAAGUCAGGGGUGAAAUCUUUCGGCUCAACCGGAAAAUAGCCUUUGAUACUGGCCGUCUCGAGCGAGGUAGGGGCAUGUGGAACUUCCGGUGGAGCGGUGAAAUGCGUUGAUAUCGGAAGGAACGCCGGUGGCGAAAGCGACGUGCUGGACCUCCUCUGACGCUGAUGCGCGAAAGCUAGGGGAGCGAACGGG